rnacentral:rRNA from 1 species
CGACACCUUUAGGAGGGGGCAACAACUGGAACGGUCUGCUAAUACCCCAUAUGCUUUCGAGUGAAAUGGAUUUUUCCGCCUAAAGAGAAGCUUGCGGCUGAUUAGCUUGUUGGUGAGGUAAUGGCUCACCAAGGCGACGAUCAGUAUCUGGCUUGAGAGGACGAUCAGACACACUGGAACUGAGACACGGUCCAGACUCCUACGGGAGGCAGCAGUGGGGAAUUUUCCGCAAUGGGCGAAAGCCUGACGGAGCAAUACCGCGUGAGGGAUGACGGCCUAUGGGUUGUAAACCUCUUUUUUCAGGGAGGAAUAAAAUGACGUGUACCUGAAGAAUAAGCAUCGGCUAACUCCGUGCCAGCAGCCGCGGUAAGACGGAGGAUGCAAGUGUUAUCCGGAAUCACUGGGCGUAAAGCGUCUGUAGGUGGUCCAAUAAGUCAACUGUUAAAUCUUGGGGCUCAACCUCAAAAUCGCAGUCGAAACUAUUAGACUAGAGUAUAGUAGGGGUAAAGGGAAUUUCCAGUGGAGCGGUGAAAUGCGUAGAGAUUGGAAAGAACACCGAUGGCGAAGGCACUUUACUGGGCUAUUACUUACACUCAGAGACGAAAGCUAGGGUAGCAUAAGGGAUUAGAUACCCCAGUAGUC